AAACAUCUUGUAAGAAUUUUUACAUGCAUCACUUUCUUCAGCAAAAGAAUAACCAUAUUAAAAUAUUGAUUACAACACUACUAUUGCUUAUUAUUACAUCCAAAAAUAUGUACAAGAAUCCGUUUAACUUUGUUGCCUAACCACUACUAAAAAUCAACUAUCACCUUGCAACAACACGGCAAAUCAUGGCUGAUCUACUAUAAUCAUCAACUCUCAAGUCAUGUUCUGCCCUUGUCACUACCAAAUUGUCUCCAUGUUCUCACAACACCAUUGCUCUAAUUUCCUACAAUAGGAACGCCUUCACCUCACUGCCUCUUCUAAAACAGCCGUGCAACUUAGAUCCAUCAAUACCAAUCCAAUGCAGUACCACCAUUGUUUUUCUUCUACUCAACUUGAGCUCUUCUAAAAUUGGCACCCCUUCUUUUUUCCAAUUGGCAACAUCCUCUAUUGAUCUAAAUCUACUUGUAUGUUCAUAAUCAAUAACUUCUUUUCACAAUAAUCUUCAUCUUCUUCUUCUUAGAUUCUUUCAAUCACUUCUCUAAUUAAAUCACAAUUUGGUCUUUUAUGUAACUUUGAAACAAAUCGCUACCUUCUUCUACAAUCUCC
rnacentral:lncRNA from 1 species